rnacentral:rRNA from 1 species
GACGAACGCUGGCGGCGUGCCUAAUACAUGCAAGUCGAGCGGACUUUCAAGAAGCUUGCUUUUUGAAAGUUAGCGGCGGACGGGUGAGUAACACGUGGGCAACCUGCCUGUAAGACGGGGAUAACUCCGGGAAACCGGGGCUAAUACCGGCUAAUAUCUUUCUUCGCAUGAAGGUAGGGUGAAAGGCGGCGCAAGCUGCCGCUUGCAGAUGGGCCCGCGGCGAAUUAGCUAGUUGGUGAGGUAACGGCUCACCAAGGCGACGAUGCGUAGCCGACCUGAGAGGGUGAUCGGCCACACUGGGACUGAGACACGGCCCAGACUCCUACGGGAGGCAGCAGUAGAGAAUCUGCCGCAAUGGACGAAAGUCUGACGGAGUAACGCCGCGUGAGCGAAGAAGGUCUUCGGAUCGUAAAGCUCUGUUGUCAGGGAAGAACAAGUACCGUUCGAAUAGGGCGGUACCUUGACGGUACCUGACCAGAAAGCCACGGCUAACUACGUGCCAGCCGCCGCCGUAA